rnacentral:rRNA from 1 species
UUGGAGGGCAAGUCUGGUGCCAGCAGCCGCGGUAAUUCCAGCUCCAAUAGCGUAUAUUAAAGUUGUUGCAGUUAAAAAGCUCGUAGUUGAAUUUCGGGGUUAGUAGGUUGGUCAUGCCACUGGUAUGUACUGGUCUCACUGAUUCCUCCUUCCUGAUGAGCCGUAAUGCCAUUAAUUUGGCGUUGCGAGGAAUCUGGACUGUUACUUUGAAAAAAUAGAGUGUUUAAAGCAAGCUAACGCUUGAAUACAUUAGCAUGGAAUAAUGAAAUAGGACGUUCGAUCCUAUUUUGUUGGUUUCUAGGAUUGACGUAAUGAUUAAUAGGGAUAGUUGGGGGCAUUAGUAUUCAAUUGUCAGAGAUGAAAUUCUUGGAUUUAUUGGAGACUAACUACUGCGAAAGCAUUUGCCAAGGAUGUUUUCAUUAAUCAAGAACGAAAGUUAGGGGAUCGAAGACGAUCAGAUACCGUCGUAGUCUUAACCAUAAACUAUGCCGACUAGGGAUCGGAUGAUGUUAAUUUUUUAAUGACUCAUUCGGCGCCUUACGGGAAACCAAAGUGUUUGGGUUC